GGGGUUUGGGGUUUUUUUCCCUAAAAGCAGAACCGUGGGGGGAUCUCUUCUGUCACAGUUGUUGGUUUUUUGAUAUCUUAAUUAAUUACACCUUUGGAAGAAAACCUUGUGUAACUUAGCAACUGACUUGCACUGGUUACACUGAAAGUGCCAAGGAGUUGUAGUGUCCACUGGAUUGUUUGUAUUGAAGCAGUUUGGUGUUUACAGAGGGAUAAUAGCUCCUGUCAGCAGCAAGGUCCCCACUGAAGUGGCAGCUGCAGUUGUUCCUGUGGUGUGGGCCAGUGGAAUUCCAAGAAAAUGGACAAGGACAGAACCUGUAAGAAUUACCCCUAAGCCAGAGUCUCUCCUGGUAAGGCAAACCCAGUAUCCUUUAAAAUUAGGAAGCCAAGCUGGGUUGGUUCCAGUAAUAGCUAAAUUUGCUGAUGAUGGUUUGAUAGUAGAAUGUGAAUGCAAGGACCUGUGGAGAAAGGAAAUGGGAAAGAUGAUUGAUUGCUGGGGCUGGCAGACAGUGGCAGUGGAUGUUUGGCUGUGUUUGGGAAUGAGCAGCUUGACCUCCCCAGGGUUGUCUGUGCUGGGGUGGGUUUGGGUCCUGUGUGGCCACAGGUCUGUGCAGCAGCUGGAGCCUGGGCAGGUUUGGGGGCUGUGGUGUGCCAGGCUGCUGAGUGUGUUGUCCCUGUUUCCUUGGAGUGUCCCAGUGUCCCUGCUUGGCUGUUUGUUGCCCUGCAGGCAGAAGAGCCCAGGCCUGAGAUGGCUGAGUGUUGGUGUGACCCACAGUGGGUGUCCCUGCCCUCGGGACGGUCCCCAGAGCUGCCUUUGGCAUCCCCUGCUGAAGGGUGGGAGCUGCCCAGAGCCAGCAGCAUCCAGCUGGAGGAUCCAGGAGGAUGCAGCUCCUGUUGUCUGGGAGCUUGUCCAGGAGAUGGAAUUCCAGUGCUACAGAACAGCUGGGUCGUGGUGCUCCCAAAAGGAGCCUUUGUGCCUUCAGGGCAGGUUCUGGUGCCCCUGGAGCUGUUGGGAGAAGCGGAGGGUUGGCAGGGAGAGGCCUGGAAUGAUGUUGCUGUGGCACAGAAGAAAUGAGCAGUGAUGGU
rnacentral:lncRNA from 1 species